rnacentral:rRNA from 1 species
UACGUAGGUGGCAAGCGUUAUCCGGAAUUACUGGGCGUAAAGAGUGCGUAGGUGGUUAUGCAAGCGCGGAGGUAUAAGGCUACGGCCUAACCGUAGUUCGCCCCGCGAACUGCGUAACUUGAGUACAGGAGGGGAAAGCGGAAUUCCCGGUGUAGCGGUGAAAUGCGCAGAUAUCAGGAGGAACACCAGCGGCGAAGGCGGCGCUCUGGGCCGGAACUGACGCUGAGGAGCGAAAGCGUGGGUAGCAAACAGGAUUAGAUACCCGCGUAGUCCCUGAGCGGG